CACGUAGGGGGCGAGCGUUGUCCGGAUUUAUUGGGCGUAAAGAGCUCGUAGGCGGUUUCGUAAGCCGGAUGUGAAAACUCCAGGCUCAACUUGGAGACGCCAUUCGAUACUGCGAUGACUUGAGUCCGGUAGGGGAGUGUGGAAUUCCUGGUGUAGCGGUGAAAUGCGCAGAUAUCAGGAGGAACACCGGCGGCGAAGGCGGCACUCUGGGCCGGUACUGACGCUGAGGAGCGAAAGCGUGGGUAGCAAACAGG
rnacentral:rRNA from 1 species